AACACCUCAACUCUCAUGGCUUGCCAUGACGAGCUUGGACUUUGGGGGUCUUGCCGGCCUGCGGUCGGCUCCUCUCAAAUGAAUCAGCUUACCAGUGUUUGGUGGCAUCACAGGUGUGAUAACUAUCUACGCUUGUGGUUUUCCACCAGGUAACCUUCAGUGAUGGAGGUUUGCUGGGGCUCAUAAAUGUCUCUCCUCAGUGAGGACAGCUCUUUGAAC
rnacentral:misc_RNA from 1 species